AGAAACCCUUUUUAAGGAGGUAUCUAUGAUCCCUGGUCAUCCCUCUUUGGGAAUAUGGCUUCGUGGAAUGAGCUCUGACCUGGGAGUUGCUUUGGUUCUGCUUUUACCUGGACGUGAGCUCUCCAGGUGGAGACUUUGUCUCAUGGGUUCAGUUCCAGAACAUGCUGGUGGAAUCCCACAUCUUAUGCUCAAUCCUGUGCUCUGAGCUUCAGGCCCACACAUCCCACAUCCUACCAGACAGUGUCCUCUGGACAUCCCACGAAUACCUCCCCUAAAGCAUCCAAAGUUCAUUGCUCAUCCUCUGUAACUCCCGCCUCCUACCCAUUUCCCUGGUCCUGGGUAGUGAUCUCUAUCCAUCCAACAACCAAGACAGGAACCCUGAGCUCCAUCCAUCCCUUCUCACAUCUAACCAGUCACUAUGCCCUUCAGUUCUGUCUCAGAAUUGUCUCUGAAUACAAUGCUCAGCCUUCAUCCUUCCCACUCAUCCUGCAGCUGCAGAGUCCAGCCCACACUGCAUCUCACCUGGACUAUGAGAUGGCUUCCAGUGGACCCUCCCUCUCCACCCCCUUACCGCAGACAGACCCAGGCUCCUCCUUCUUGUGACCCAAGUCCAGGUAAGGGAGAAAAACACUGUGAGAGCUACUGAUUAGCUGUGUUUCCUGAUGUCUGGGGCACAUUAUUUCCCUACCCUAGGUCCUUUGAGCCUUCAUCUACAAAGUAAAGGCAUUGGAUAAACUAAACUCUUCUAGAAACUCUUGCCUAUUCCAAGAUUCUGUGAUUCUUCUGAGGAAACUUCUGCAGAGGAAAAGCGUAUCUGACCAUAAGCUUCAGGAAGCCUCCUGCCAUCUGAAGGAGGAAAAUCACUAAUGUCUUCUCAGUGCAAAUUAAUGUCAUUGAUCCCAAUCCAGUCCAGUUCAGCAGGAAGAAAUACAUUUGGGAAGAAAAAGAGUGUGCUGGAAAUAAAAGGUUGGAAGGAUUCCCUUUGGGAACAGCUGAUCUUUCAGAGACAUGGCAGUGAACACCCAGAGGCCUCUGUAGACAUCAAAGAGCUCUACUUUUCGGGGUUAGGUAAGUGGAGUCAACACCCACUCUAAGAAUGUGGAGCUGGUCAGGAGCCCCAGGCUGUGGGGUUGCCUCUGCUGUGUGACCUGUGAUGACUUCCAGGCUGCUCCCUACAGGGACUAUGAGAUGGUACAGAACUCUCUCUGGAAUCCAAGACCUUCCUGCUGUAAAGGAGCAUUUUUCCUGUAGGGGGCAGAAAUCGGCCUCCAUCACGGGCUUAGUUCCCAGGAUCUGACUGGUAUCAGUGAGGACAUCCUAAUAACCAGUCUCUACUUGAGGGAGGAAGGGAGUGCGCGCUCGGUUCCUGGAGGUGUUCUGGCAGAGACCCGCGAAGGGAGUGCGGGCAAACUUGUCAGGUAGGAGGCUUGAGGCUGCAACUGACAGAACCAAAGACGAAACGUUGCUUUAACAGUAAUGAAUUUGUUAUCUAUCGUAAUAAGAAGUCCUGUUACCUAAUAAAAUUGGGUAGAUGACGUGGCACAUCAAGGAUGUCAGGGCUCUGGGACAGCGACUCUGGGGUACUCUUGAGUUUCCUCUCAUGGUCCAGCCACAGUUGGGAGUACCAUCUCCUCAUACACAUACCCCCAAAUACAGGAAGGAGCAAGUACUGAGUUUCUUUUUACAAAUGAAGGAAACAUUCCCAGAAGCCCUCACAGGCUUCCUUUUAUACCUCACUGGCCAGAGUGGAGUCGCAUUGGUGUGCCUCCUCCAGUCACCAGCAAAGAGAGAGGAAUUAGUUUCAUUAGCUUAAAUCGGUCAAUGAGUGUGGGGAAUACCCAUGAAACACCUGGGCACUCAGUACCUGAACAAAAUUGGGGUGCUGUCAGCAAGGAAGAAGGGGGCGUCGCUGGGCAGGCCACGGACACAGUCUGCCGUAGCAGGGGUUUUUGACCAGACAACUCCUGAGCUGGAUGCCAGCUCUUUGAUUCUAUUUCCAGAGUUCUUUCCAGUUUGAGAAUCUUAGUUUUUAUAAGUUGCCACUUCUUUUUUUUUUAAUUGCUUUUCUGACUUUCUUAUGGCCCAGUUUCCCUACCCCACUCCCUGUCUUGGAGGUUGCAAUUAGGCCCUGGUGACACACUUGGCACGGGAAGGCUGUGAACACAGCCCUGACGAGCUGGGUGUGGGCCCAGACAGUAAACGCAGCAGUUAAUUGUUUUCUUCUCUCCCUCA